rnacentral:rRNA from 1 species
AUGGAGUGUGAUCUCCGCGCUAACGAGUUAUGGGAUGCGGUGGAUCCCGGAGGUGACGCGUUCAAGAAGGAGGGAGCCAAGCACCGGAAGGAUCGGCAGGCGGCGUCGACGAUUUACUCGGUGAUGCCGAUGGAUGUCCUCCAACACCUGAUCGCCAAAGAAACGGCGAAGGAGGUGUGGGAUACUUUGAAGCUCAUGUUCGAAGGACACACCCGCGUCAAGCAAGCUAAUCUCCAAACUCUCUUAAGGAACUAUGAGACUUUGGUCAUGGGCGACGAUGAGUCCGUCGACGCGUUCGCUUCACGGGUGGCUACUCUCGUCAAUCGGAUCCGUGCGCUUGGAAAAAACAUCACGGAGGCCUCAGUUGUCUGGCGGUUCUUGCGCGCGGCCCCUCCCAGGUACCUGCAAAUUGUCACGGCGAUCGAGCAGUGCUUCGAUCUCGCGACUCUCUCCAUCGACGAUCUUGUCGGACGGUACAAAGCUCACGAUGAGCGGAUGCGGUACAGUCUUGGGGACGGGAGGAACGACGAGCUUGUGAUGCUCACAAAGGCGCAGUGGAUCGCCCUUGAAAAGCAAGGCAGGUCCAAAAGCAGCAGCAAGAAGAAGGGGAAGCAGCGUUCAGCGAGAAAGAACUUCGCCGACUGGGAUGAUGACUCGGACAAUGAGGCUGCACCACCACCGAGGAGAAAGUUUGACAUCAGGAAAGUGAGGUGUUAUAACUGUGAACUCCUCGGCCACUUCAAGGCUGACUGCGAGAAAGCACCGAAGCAGAAGGCGCUCAUGGCUCAGCAAGGAGAUGAUGGUAACAUGAUGUUGAUGAGCGAACUCGUGGACGAGGAGGAUCCAGACUCACAAGUGUUGACUAAAGAAAUUGUCGAGCUUGCGGAAGAAAAAGUUUGCCAUCAAAAUUAUGGUUCGGAAACUCAUGUCGAAGCUACAGACGCGGGAAGUGAUUUCGAAAGUUAUGUUGAUGUUCCGGGUAUAAGUGCUAACUUUGCUGGAGUGGAUGCAGCAAUUGCCGCGUGUGCUCGGCCAUGGAGAAGCAGUCUUUGUGUGACGCGUCCAGAAAAAUCGAAGACGUAUGUGGCGUCAGAAGUCCACGAAAAGAGGAGCACUGGUGUUGUGUCGCGGUGCAGACCGGAUGUGCUGGGAAGAUGUGUAACCCGCGUGAGUGCAGCGGGCGCUGCGUGUCAUCGGCCUGACGGUGUAGUGCCAGCCGCACAUGCAAGUAAGAAGUGCCCUUGUGCUGGAGGCAUACCAAGCAGUGCAGACGGCAAUAUCAGCAGUGGCUCAGUACACACAACAGAUGGGCUUGGCCCAUCAGGAAGCAGUGCUCCAGCAGGCAGCAGGCAACAAGAUAGCAGUGGUCCAGCAAGCACCAAUCCAGUAGAGGAAGGCAGCCCAUCACGUGCAGCUGCUGUGGUGGACGGGCUAAGGAACUAUGGCAUUCCACCACUCACUGAAUGUGGUGCUCCACGAGGGCUAGCUAGCUCACGUGGAAGGCAAGUUUUGCCAAUUGCAACGUGCAAAGCAAAUAGCGAGGUGUCGCUUCUGAAUGUACAAGGAGCCACACAAGCAAUGUCGUCUCCGAUAGUAAUGGAGGAAAGGACACCAUCAUCUACAUCCAUACAGCUACAGCCGGUGUUACACCCAUAUCUGGAGAAAACUUUUCAGACGAUUGGCCCGGUAAAGAUGAAAAGAAGUGGACGACGGUGUCUAGGAAGUGCCGAGGAACCGGCAGAAUUUAAGGACGCAAAUACGAAGGAGUGUUGGCGUCAGGCUAUGGAAGAAGAGUUGAGGUUGAUCCAAGACAACAAAACAUGA